rnacentral:rRNA from 1 species
UACGUAGGGGGCAAGCGUUGUCCGGAUUUAUUGGGCGUAAAGAGCGUGUAGGCGGCUUUACAGGUCCGUUGUGAAAACUCGAGGCUCAACCUCGAGACGCCGGUGGAAACCGUAAGGCUAGAGUCCGGAAGAGGAGAGUGGAAUUCCUGGUGUAGCGGUGAAAUGCGCAGAUAUCAGGAGGAACACCCGUGGCGAAAGCGGCUCUCUGGGACGGUACUGACGCUGAGGUACGAAAGCCAGGGGAGCGAAGGGG